UACGUAGGGAGCAAGCGUUGUUCGGAAUUACUGGGCGUAAAGAGUGUGUAGGCGGUGCUCUAAGUUAGGUGUGAAAUCUCCCGGCUCAACUGGGAGGGGGCGCCGGAAACUGGAGUGCUGGAGCGCGGGAGAGGAAAGCGGAAUUCCUGGUGUAGCGGUGAAAUGCGUAGAUAUCAGGAGGAACACCGGCGGUGUAGACGGCUUUCUGGACCGUAGCUGACGCUGAGACACGAAAGCGUGGGUAGCAAACAGG
rnacentral:rRNA from 1 species